GAAUUGGCGUUUGCCGAGGCUGGCAUAGAUUUGGCUGUCUCCGCUCAUAGCUGCUUUUGGCGCGAAAGAUGCCGGGUCUGGUUGACUCAAACCCUGCCCUGCCUGAGUCUCAGGAGAAGAGGCCGCUGAAGCCCUGCUGCACUUGCCCGGAGACCAAGAAGGCACGCGAUGCGUGUAUCAUCGAGAAAGGAGAAGAACACUGUGGACAUCUAAUUGAGGCCCACAAGGAAUGCAUGAGAGCCCUAGGAUUUAAAAUAUGAAAUGGUGGUCUGCUGUGUGAAUAAAUAAUUCCUGAAGGAUGAAGAAGAUUAAUUUUGGGAGUUCUUUGAUGAACUUUGAUAUGUGGAAAAAGUAUUUAUAAUUUAUUGUAAGAAGAAAGUAAAAUAUUACUAGUGGAAAAA
rnacentral:lncRNA from 1 species